rnacentral:hammerhead_ribozyme from 1 species
AUCCAGCUGACGAGUCCCAAAUAGGAGGUAACGCGCGUCAAACUGGAU